UGGGGAAUAUUGGACAAUGGGGGCAACCCUGAUCCAGCCAUGCCGCGUGUGUGAAGAAGGCCUUUUGGUUGUAAAGCACUUUAAGCAGUGAAGAAGACUCCAUGGUUAAUACCCAUGGACGAUGACAUUAGCUGCAGAAUAAGCACCGGCUAACUCUGUGCCAGCAGCCGCGGUAAUACAGAGGGUGCAAGCGUUAAUCGGAAUUACUGGGCGUAAAGCGAGCGUAGGUGGCUUGAUAUGUCAGAUGUGAAAGCCCCGGGCUUAACCUGGGAACGGCAUCUGAUACUGUUAGGCUAGAGUAGGUGAGAGGAAGGUAGAAUUCCAGGUGUAGCGGUGAAAUGCGUAGAGAUCAGGAGGAAUACCGAUGGCGAAGGCAGCCUUCUGGCAUCAUACUGACACUGAGGUUCGAAAGCGUGGGUAGCAAACAG
rnacentral:rRNA from 1 species